UAGCCGUCCAGGAGACUGAAGCCCUCUGUUUAUCCACAGAGCAGGUGCCACACUGCCUAGCCCACCUUCCCUUGCCAGGAUCUCUCAAUCCUGUUUUACAGAAGCUCCUUGGAAUGAGAUGGACAUUCAUUCUCCUCAGACAAUGCCUACAAGGGUAACA
rnacentral:sRNA from 1 species